GACGGAGGAUGCAAGCGUUAUCCGGAAUGAUUGGGCGUAAAGCGUCCGCAGGUGGCAGUUCAAGUCUGCUGUCAAAGACCGGGGCUUAACUUCGGAAAGGCAGUGGAAACUGAACAGCUAGAGUAUGGUAGGGGCAGAGGGAAUUCCUGGUGUAGCGGUGAAAUGCGUAGAGAUCGGGAGGAACAUCAGUGGCGAAGGCGGCUACCUGGCCCAAUACUGACACUCAGGUGCGACAGCGUGGGGAGCAAACAGG
rnacentral:rRNA from 1 species